rnacentral:tRNA from 1 species
CAGAGAAUAGUUUAAUAAAAAUGUUAAUUUUGGGGAUUAAUGAUAGGAUAAUUAUUCCUUUCUCUGA